GUGUCAGCCGCCGCGGUAAUACGGAGGGUGCAAGCGUUAAUCGGAAUUACUGGGCGUAAAGCGCACGCAGGCGGUUGGAUAAGUUAGAUGUGAAAGCCCCGGGCUCAACCUGGGAAUUGCAUUUAAAACUGUCCAGCUAGAGUCUUGUAGAGGGGGGUAGAAUUCCAGGUGUAGCGGUGAAAUGCGUAGAGAUCUGAAGGAAUACCGGUGGCGAAGGCGGCCCCCUGGACAGAUACUGACACUCAGAUGCGAAAGCGUGGGGAGCAAACAGGAUUAGAUACCCCAGUAGUCC
rnacentral:rRNA from 1 species